GCAGUGGUGGGUCUGUGGUAGAAUUCUUGCCUCCCACGCAGGAAACCCAGGUUCAAUUCCCGGCCAGUGCA
rnacentral:tRNA from 1 species